rnacentral:misc_RNA from 1 species
GAUGAAGAACUCAGUGAAAUGCGAUAAGUAGUGUGAAUUGCAGAAUUCAGUGAAUCAUCGAAUCUUUGAACGCACAUUGCGCCCUUUGGUAUUCCAAAGGGCAUGCCUGUUCGAGCGUCAUUUGUACCCUCAAGCUUUGCUUGGUGUUGGGCGUCUUGUCUCUAGCUUUGCUGGAGACUCGCCUUAAAGUAAUUGGCAGCCGGCCUACUGGUUUCGGAGCGCAGCACAAGUCGCACUCUCUAUCAGCAAAGGUCUAGCAUCCAUUAAGCCUUUUUUUCAACUUUUGACCUCGGAUCAGGUAGGGAUACCCGCUGAACUUAAGCAUAUCAAUAAGCGGAGGA